UCAUGGCUCAGAUUGAACGCUGGCGGCAUGCCUUACACAUGCAAGUCGAACGGUAACGGGCCUUCGGGUGCCGACGAGUGGCGAACGGGUGAGUAAUGUAUCGGAACGUACCUUUCAGUGGGGGAUAACGUAGCGAAAGUUACGCUAAUACCGCAUAUUCUGUGAGCAGGAAAGCAGGGGAUCGCAAGACCUUGCGCUGAUUGAGCGGCCGAUAUCAGAUUAGCUAGUUGGUGAGGUAAAGGCUCACCAAGGCGACGAUCUGUAGCGGGUCUGAGAGGAUGAUCCGCCACACUGGAACUGAGACACGGUCCAGACUCCUACGGGAGGCAGCAGUAAGGAAUAUUGGUCAAUGGGGGCAACCCUGAACCAGCCAUGCCGCGUGCAGGAAGACGGCCCUACGGGUUGUAAACUGCUUUUAUACGGGAAUAAAUCUCGCUACGUGUAGUGAGUUGAAUGUACUGUAAGAAUAAGGAUCGGCUAACUCCGUG
rnacentral:rRNA from 1 species